GUUCAUUCAUCGUUGAUAUAGGUUGAUAAUAUUAUUUACAUCAGACGUGUUUUAUAAAUAUUUUAAAUAAAAUUUUUAGAUUUUUGUACACAAAAAUUGAACAUGUCUUCUAUUGUCCCAUUAUCGGACCACUGUCGGUGCUGUCUAACAGAAAAAAGUAAGGACUACUCCGUGUUCGCAACUUUAGAAGAAUUUGAGAGCAAAAUCUGUGAUUUGAUUGCAAAUUGCAGCGGAGUCACGAUCACAGAGAAAGAUGAUUACCCGAAGUUUAUCUGUGGGAAAUGUUAUUGCGAGCUAGUGGAGGCUACGCGUUUUCGAAAUCGCUGCAUCCAGUCGCAGAGUAUCUUGCACGAGAAACAAUCAUCUACGGUUUCCAGUCAGAUUGUAAGUCCGAUAUCUGAUGAACAAUCAAGUUAUUUACAACCUCAGAAUGAUGAGCUUGAUAUGGAAACCGAAUGGUUGGUCGAAAUAGAAGAUGAUCAGAAAGAUGUACUAGAUUUGGAAACAGAAUGGGUGAACGAAGUAAAAGAAGAGCCCAUUGAUUUUCAGCUGGAAUUUGAUCCCUUAGCUGAGGAAGCACAGCGAAACGAAUCGAAUGAUCCAAAAGUAAAAUCAAUUAAUAUCCAGCCGACAGCCCGUUUCAAUCUCGCGCGGUUGCUGGUUCCCUGUCUGCUGUGUAGCAAAAAAUUUGCCACCCGGGCCAACCUGCUCACUCAUAUGCGCUUCCAUCCGAAAAAGAAAUGCCUUAUGUGCGAUGAGGCGUUUAUAAGCUUAGCUGAACUUGCGAGACACCAAAGGGAAAAACAUCCCCCAGAAGAAGCUCAGGACGUUAAUGUCGUCAUGGCAAGCGGUUCAAAAAAUGAAAUACUAACGUACCCAUGCGAAGUCUGUGGUAAAGUGUUUACAUCGAAACUGCAGUUAUCUAAUCACAAGCCACGUCACAAAUCGUCGAUAAAAUGUGAGAUAUGUGACAAAAAAUUUAUUUUGGAAUCUAAUUACUUGAGCCAUCUGAAACAACACGAACGCGGUGAAGUUGAUCAGUGUCAGUCGUGCGGUAGACUCUUCCAUAGCAGGAGAAAAUUCACACGACACAAAUGCAAACGCGCGUUUAAUAAACCGAAUCAGUGUUUGGUUUGUUUUGAGGUUUUUGCAGAUCCCCUCAACCUGAUAAGGCACCGGCGUCAGCAUGAUCCGGAACGUAAAUCGCAUAAGUGCGAACAAUGCGGUAAAACUUUCAUCGAGGAAAGAAAUCUGGCGAUUCACCAGCGCUACCAUUCUGAUGAGGAUAUGCCGACUUGUAAAAUUUGUGGUAAACGAUUCCUACAUAUUACUCGUCUACGGAAACAUAUGCCAAUACAUAACGAACCCGACAACACUCCCGGAAAAUGUACUCUUUGCGACAAAGAAUUCCUUCGACAGUCUGAGCUCAAGCGGCACAUGCGAUGGCACAGUGGAGAAUUGCCGCACGAAUGCACUACAUGUGGUAAACUGUACCGAGAACGCCGGGACUUACUAAUGCACGAACGAAAGCAUACCGGAGAUAUGCCAUUCAAGUGCGACAUCUGUGAUAAAACGUAUGCCUCUCCCGACGUCUUCAGGCAACACAAAGCGUUCCACAAUCGGCCAGUAAAAACGCACCAAUGCACAAUAUGCGACAUUACGUUUAGUGCCGCCAACUAUCUGAAAUUUCACAUGAAGAAGCAUAUUAACGAAGAACAAAAAAAGAUUCGUAACGCGGAAGGGACAACGGAUCAGCUGCUGAGUAGCUAACGUGUCAGUUACUUGUACGAUAUUUCUAGAUUUGCUUUGCAUUGAAUUUUGAGAAAUACACGGUUGCGUACAUGAAAUGUUGAAAAAUGUUUGAGAAUCUUAUGUUUUGCAUGGUUGUCCUAUAGCACUAUUUUGAAUGCUUAAUUAGUUUAAUACUGGUUUGGUAGCAAAGGAGUACAAGGUGAUAGUCUCAGGAAGUCGAUGUAUGCUUGAACUAGGGCCCCUUUUUCAAAAUUAACGAAGAGGCGAAGGGCUUCGCCAGGUGAUGCGAGAUCGAGAGGUACCAAGAAACACAAGAAGGUUCCCGACAUAGUGGUACGCGUAGCGAACGAAACAGCCACUAAGGUGGGUAAAACGCCAAAGUCGUCACGGAAGGCAAACAGCAUGGAUAGGUCCGAAAAGCGAAAGUUCUUCAAGGGACGAAACAAAUGUGAAGCACAGGUACGGGAAGGAACUGCGCGUGAUGCGGAUUAACCCGGUACUCAAGGAGCUGUGCUCAGACGUUAAGAAAAUCAGGCGCACCCGCUCCGGAGAGAUGAUCCUGGAAUUGAAAAAGGAGCCGAAGUCACACAGCUCUACUUAUGAAAAGCUCACCGAGAAAGCUACGGACAAAAUGGCGGAACUGAAAGCCUCCGGAGGCAACCAUCCAAUGUAAGAACUUAUAUGAAAUAUCCUCGGAAGAAAAGCUAAGAGAAACUCUGAAAGGACAGUGCGAACUUGGAAAAGUGCAGAUACCGAUCCGAAUGAGAAAGAGACCUUUCGGCGCGCAAGCUACUUCGGUUAGGCUUCCAGUCGAAGCAGCAAACCACUUAAAACUGAGAAGAUCAAAGUUGACUGGUCGGUAUGUCCACCGGUAUGUCCUUAGCGACCGGAAGUGUGCUUCAAGGUCAAGAGUUCGGCCACCUGGCGAGAAUCUGCAGUGGACCUGGUAGGAGCAAAUUAUGCAUAAGGUGCGGGGAAGAAGGCCACAAGGCAAAAAACUGCCGACAGACAUGUUACAUGGCCUACGAUAUCCGACCUUCAAACAGGUGACUGCAACGAAAUCACAGUGGAGGUAACGCAAAUUAACCUCAACCACUACGACACAGCACAACAUUUGCUACGGCAAUCUGUAGCAGAGCGCAAAUGCAGAUCAUUUCGGAGCCAUACCGUAUCCUGGCCAGCGAUGGAAACUGGAUAUCAGAUAACGAUCGGAAGCAAUAGACAGUCGGAAGCUCGUGUGACCCAAUCAAACGAGCGAAGAUGGAAAACAACGAAUAUCAACAAGAGAGUCUUCGUCUAAAUGUUGAGGUGU